UGGGGAAUAUUGCACAAUGGGCGCAAGCCUGAUGCAGCAACGCCGCGUGAGGGACGACGGCCUUCGGGUUGUAAACCUCUUUUGGCAGGGAAGAAGCGAAAGUGACGGUACCUGCAGAAAAAGCACCGGCUAACUACGUGCCAGCAGCCGCGGUGAUACGUAGGGUGCAAGCGUUGUCCGGAAUUAUUGGGCGUAAAGAGCUCGUAGGCGGUUUGUCGCGUCUGCUGCGAAAACCCGAGGCUCAACCUCGGGCCUGCAGUGGGUACGGGCAGACUAGAGUGCGGUAGGGGAGAUUGGAAUUCCUGGUGUAGCGGUGGAAUGCGCAGAUAUCAGGAGGAACACCGAUGGCGAAGGCAGAUCUCUGGGCCGUAACUGACGCUGAGGAGCGAAAGCAUGGGGA
rnacentral:rRNA from 1 species